AUUCUGGGUAAUCGGCUAGGCUGCAGAUCCCAUUGAUGUCUUCAUACUGAUAGACAAAACUGGAACCAUUCAUAAAGUGAAGUAAAGCCAUCCAGUGACAAUGAUAACAAUAUUCUCAUUUCUUACCAAGAAUGCUCCCAGAGAAUCUGGCAAGCAUGACAGGAUGGAGAAUACACUUGGUGACAUAUUCGAGAUUCUUCUAGAUCCAGCCUGCUCCCACCU